rnacentral:lncRNA from 1 species
UUCAUGAAAACCAUGCAUAUUUCAGUACAUUAGUGGCUUGUACUACAUCGCUAAUUAUGCAAAAAGAAGUUGAGUAUGACUGUCACUGCAAAGUAUGUCAAUAUCUAUCACAAAUAUGUGAGUACCUAGAUAAAAUUAAGCCACCCUUUGAAGUAUAACUAAACAUCAGACUGGACUCGCCCAGAUUGAGCAUAUCACAAGCAUAAAUAUCUUGAUGAGACAUGGUAGCACCAUCUUUGGUACAUGGCCAGCAACAGGCAUUAAGGACUAAUCUGAUCACCAUUCAACAAGCAUUGUUAUUUAAAAUUAUAAGCUCUAGUAUCUUGAUGGUACAUAACAGAAAUGCUCUAGCAUUUCCCUCCUGUUCUACUACUCCUUGUUCAUCAUUCAUCAAGCUUCUUGUUUUGGGAGGGAUCACACCAAGAAAACACGAUUCAGUUGAGCACAGACACGUACAGAUGCCUGAUCAACAACAGAGUUAAAGUCAAGUUGCAGAGAAAUUCUCUCAAUUGUCAGAAAGGGGGAACUUUGAUAAAAGCUUUUUCUAUCCAUCUGUAGUCCUGAUGCUUCCGCUUGUCAGAGUACCAUGCAUCUACAAAUACAAGGAAAAAAAAUAUAGUUUACACUACAAGGAAAGAAAUAGGAAAAAUUAUGUUCUCUAAUACUGAUCAUGUAUGUAUUGAACAAUUAAGAGUGCAACUCAAGUUGUUUUGCUAACUCGUACUCCCUCCUUCCGAAAAAGCUUGUCCCAAACUUGUCCCUCAAAUGGAUGUAUCUAGCACUAACUUGGUGUUAGAUACAUCCAUUUGAGGGACAAGCUUUUUCAAACGGAGGGAGUAGAUGACAAAAGUAAAAACUUGAUGUUGUAGCACAAAGGCACAUGUCAAACCAGUGAAGAGAAAACGAAAAUAAUAUCAUACGGCAAAAUAUAUUCACAGCUUGACAGUGACGGAUCACUUGUAUCAAUUUUCACAGCAAGUAGGUCAAAACAAUCAGCCAUCUAGUCCCUCCAAUGGACAUUUCCUGCUAAUUGUAGAUUGUGACCUAGCAUUGCCUUAAUGCACACAUCUUUGCUGACAGAAGCACUACAAGUGCAGGCCACGAUGUUUGCAUGUUCACUGAAGCUGUUGGUUUCCACUCCUAACAGCUUAGAAGCGCCUCUUAUUGCUCAAGUACUUUGCAAUUAGCAGCAAAGACACAAAGAAAAUAUGAUUUUAUUGUAAUGAGUAUAAACAAUACCAAAAAUCAUCAAAGAAGGGAUUAACGGAAAAAACAUCAAAGAAGGGAUAAUGGAAAAUUGGGCAAUGACAAAAUAUACUUUCCUUUUUGGACUAUGUCUUGUCACCUGAUAGUGUUGGUACAAAUUUUGCAAUUACUGGAACUAUGGGCUCGCCUAACAGCGAUGUCUCACUACUUCCCUCCAUUUCAUUUCAAGAUGCAGCAGCAAAAUAGCGGAAAACAAACUUAGUACUAGUCGACGAGCUUCGACCUAUCCAUCAUAUGGAGAGCAGAAAAUUGAGAAAUCAGCCCCAAUUCCAAGAUUGCAAUGUUAAGGCUGCAAACUAAAAAGUUACACAGAAAGAGAGUCUUCUAUUCUACUGUACAUACAAAAGGUAAAAAAAGUUUUUGUGCCUACAAGCACUUUACAUGCAGGUAAUUUAAUAGGUAGAUGAGAUUAGUUUGUUCAUAUGUAGAAUAUCCGAGAAGAGGAUGAAAUCUCAAUAUAUAAAACUACUCGAAAAUAUAGUAUAAGCAUAGCAAGCUUGUCCAGUGAUUAAUAUUUCUGUUCAUGGAUACAGAGAGAUAUCCCUGUUAUUCCUAUCAAGUUUAAAGCAAGCAUAUCCCAGAUGAGCAUGAACUAGCUGUCCAGUCAAAAUUUUCAAUUAAGCAAACAUUAUGUUUUUUUUUUGUUAUGGCUAAUCAACACCGAAUAAAGCAAAGAUUAUGCACUAUAGUUCAUAUUUGUUUCAUUGGAUGUUCUGUCCUUGGUAAUUUUCUUUAGCUCUAUGUAUGUAUAACAUACUACUGUGUUUCUAGUGGGUUAGCUACUAUACUGCUCGCCUUUGCCUAAAAAUCAUUGUAAGUUCCCAAGCUACUGGUAGUCACUUGAUGUGCAUAUGAUUUCCAAAGAUUCAGAAGUUCCGAAUCUUAUCCUACAUGAUACACCGUAUGCUCCAAAGCACAAUUUUAAAUCAGGAGUACUAUUCAGAG